rnacentral:rRNA from 1 species
CAGUCGCCGCGGGAAUACGAAGGGUGCAAGCGUUAAUCGGAAUUACUGGGCGUAAAGCGUGCGUAGGCGGUUUGUUAAGUCUGUUGUGAAAUCCCCGGGCUCAACCUGAGAAUGGCAAUGGAUACUGGCAAGCUAGAGUGUGUCAGAGGAUGGUGGAAUUCCCGGUGUAGCGGUGAAAUGCGUAGAGAUCGGGAGGAACAUCAGUGGCGAAGGCGGCCAUCUGGGACAACACUGACGCUGAGGCACGAAAGCGUGGGGAGCAAACAGGAUUAGAUACCCGCGUAGUCCCUGUCUCUUAUAC